ACCUCGGUGGUCUAGUUGGUAUGACACUGCUUUAAAUGCAAAGGUCGUGGGUUCGAAUCCCACUCGAGUAA